rnacentral:rRNA from 1 species
CCUUUUUCCGGCAGUCGGAGGGACAUUACCGAGUUUACAACUCCCAAACCCAAUGUGAACGUUACCAAACUGUUGCCUCGGCGGGAUCUCUGCCCCGGGUGCGUCGCAGCCCCGGACCAAGGCGCCCGCCGGAGGACCAACCAAAACUCUUAUUGUAUACCCCCUCGCGGGUUUUUUACUAUCUGAGCCAUCUCGGCGCCCCUCGUGGGCGUUUCGAAAAUGAAUCAAAACUUUCAACAACGGAUCUCUUGGUUCUGGCAUCGAUGAAGAACGCAGCGAAAUGCGAUAAGUAAUGUGAAUUGCAGAAUUCAGUGAAUCAUCGAAUCUUUGAACGCACAUUGCGCCCGCCAGUAUUCUGGCGGGCAUGCCUGUCCGAGCGUCAUUUCAACCCUCGAACCCCUCCGGGGGGUCGGCGUUGGGGAUCGGCCCUUUACGGGGCCGGCCCCGAAAUACAGUGGCGGUCUCGCCGCAGCCUCUCCUGCGCAGUAGUUUGCACACUCGCAUCGGGAGCGCGGCGCGUCCACAGCCGUUAAACACCCCAAACUUCUGAAAUGUUGACCUCGGAUCAGGUAGGAAUACCCGCUGAACUUAAGCAUUCUACGGGUAAAAAAAAU